rnacentral:rRNA from 1 species
CUACGGGUUGCUCCAGUCGAGAAUCUUUCGCAAUGGGGGAAACCCUGACGAAGCGACGCCGCGUGCAGGAUGAAGGCCUUCGGGUUGUAAACUGCUGUCAGCAGGGAAGAAAAGGCUGUUUACGAAUAGUAAACAGUUUUGACGGUACCUGCAGAGGAAGCCACGGCUAACUCUGUGCCAGCAGCCGCGGUAAUACAGAGGUGGCAAGCGUUGUUCGGAUUUAUUGGGCGUAAAGGGUCCGUAGGCGGUUUGAAAAGUCAGGUGUGAAAUCCUACAGCUUAACUGUAGAACUGCACUUGAAACUUUCAGACUAGAGUAUGAGAGGGGUAAAGAGAAUUCCCGGUGUAAGGGUGAAAUCUGUAGAGAUCGGGAGGAAUACCAGUCGCGAAGGCGCUUCACUGGCUCAUUACUGACGCUGAGGGACGAAAGCUAGGGUAGCAAACGGGAUUAGAUACCCUGGUAGUC